rnacentral:sRNA from 1 species
GCGCCUGCGGCGGGUGCAGCACGCCCAAUGGACAACGGCCUUGCAGGCGGCCGGGCUUGUACCACCUGGUGAUCAGCAAUUUUGCUGAUUCAAAAUCAUUC